rnacentral:rRNA from 1 species
CCUACGGGAGGCAGCAGUGAGGAAUAUUGGUCAAUGGACGAGAGUCUGAACCAGCCAAGUAGCGUGAAGGAUGACUGCCCUACGGGUUGUAAACUUCUUUUAUAAAGGAAUAAAAUGAGGCACGUGUGCCUUUUUGCAUGUACUUUAUGAAUAAGGAUCGGCGAACUCCGUGCCAGCAGCCGCGGUAAUACGGAGGAUCCGAGCGUUAUCCGGAUUUAUUGGGUUUAAAGGGAGCGUAGAUGGGUUGUUAAGUCAGUUGUGAAAGUUUGCGGCUCAACCGUAAAAUUGCAAUUGAUACUGGCAGCCUUGAGUACAGUUGAGGUAGGCGGAAUGCGUGGUGUAGCGGUGAAAUGCUUAGAUAUCACGAAGAACCCCGAUUGCGAAGGCAGCUUACUAAACUGUGACUGACAUUCAUGCUCGAAAGUGUGGGUAUCAAACAGGAUUAGAUACCCGGGUAGUC